AUGAGCUAUAGGUUUAGCUGGUUUGUUGGAUGCCAGGUCUUUCUUGUCAUUUUUGACAACCUUUUGAUUUGUAUCUUGAGCCACAUUUUCUACUUCUUGUCUUUUCAAUGUGAGAAUACCAGACACGAAAUGAUGCAUAUGCAUUGUGAUACCUGGAUCACUUUAAAUUCAGGAUUAUUCAUGGCUAAUUCAGGAUUGAAGCAGGGGAAACCCCCCUCCUCCAUAUUGCCUGCUGAUUAUUUGGGGAUGUCUGUGGAGAGAGAUGUUGAUACUUCUAUAGGCCUAUCACUUCAAAUUUUAUUACAACCAGUUUUAUGCCUAGAACAAUCAUGGUGUCUAGUUUCUGUUUUAUGCCCCACGUUUUACUAG
rnacentral:rRNA from 1 species